AUAACAUUUACGGGGGCCAUAGCAGAAGCAUUCAUGUUGUGACCCCUGUCAGAUAAUACCUGUGAAUUCUGCU
rnacentral:ribozyme from 1 species